rnacentral:lncRNA from 1 species
GUUCACCCCUCUCUCUCAAUAGGCUUGGGCUUAUUUUUUAGUGUCAUUUGUGUUUCUCAGCCUCCUUAAUCUUAGGAGUAUCACUUAAUUUCAUGGGUCCCAAUUUCCUCUGUGAUAGUGAAGAUCAGAGAAACAGUUCAAGGCGGUUAGGAAUAUGAAAGGAGGGUGGACAUAUUCAUCAUGUAAACAAACAGCAGAAAUGAUGGAAUGAUGCACCAUGUAUACAUCUUGAAUGUUAGAACCAUUUGUGACUCAUAUAUAACCUGAUGAUCUGUACACAUUCAGUUCACAAGAAAUGACAUGAAUUGCCUGAGCGCACAGCACCCAGCUUGUAGCCUCAACAUCUGCAUCAUACAGACAGAGAAAAUACAAGUGCUAAUGUGACAUUUGUCCCUAAACAUGUCUACUAUUGGACUCCACUUUAUCCCAUGCUUCACUCAAACACAUUUCAGGAAAAGAUUUGGGAGACUUGAAC